rnacentral:rRNA from 1 species
AGAGUUCGAUCCUGGCUCAGAACGAACGCUGGCGGCGCGUUUUAAGCAUGCAAGUCGAGCGGCAAGUGCAGCGAUGCACCUAGAGCGGCGGACGGGUGAGUAACACGUGGAUAAUCUGCCCCGCAGUCGGGGAUAGCCUGUGGAAACACAGGAUAAUACCGGAUGAGCUUCCCGGGCCACAAGGCCUGGGAAGGAAAGGAGCCACGGCUCCGCUGAGGGAUGAGUCCGCGGCCCAUUAGCUGGAUGGCGGGGUAAAGGCCCACCAUGGCGAUGAUGGGUAGCCGGCCUGAGAGGGUGGACGGCCACAUUGGAACUGAGACACGGUCCAGACUCCUACGGGAGGCAGCAGCUAAGAAUCUUCCACAAUGGACGAAAGUCUGAUGGAGCGACGCCGCGUGGACGACGAAGGCCGUGAGGUUGUAAAGUCCUUUUCCGGAGGGGGAACAACCCGGGCAGGGAAUGGCCUGGGGAUGACGUGAAUCCGGGAAUAAGCCCCGGCUAACUACGUGCCAGCAGCCGCGGUAACACGUAGGGGGCGAGCGUUGUUCGGAAUCAUUGGGCGUAAAGGGCGCGCAGGCGGCUCGGCAAGUCUGCUGUCAAAUGGUCGUGCUCAACACGAUCGUGCGGUGGAAACUGCUGGGCUUGAGUCGACGAGGGGAUGCCGGAAUUCCAGGUGUAGGGGUGAAAUCUGUAGAUAUCUGGAAGAACACCAAUGGCGAAGGCAGGCAUCUGGCGACCGACUGACGCUGAGGCGCGAAGGUGCGGGGAGCAAACAGGUUUAGAUACCCUGGUAGUCCGCACAGUAAACGAUGUGCACCAGGUGGCGGGGGGCAGCCCUCGGUACCGUAGCGAACGCAUUAAGUGCACCGCCUGGGGAGUAUGCCCGCAAGGGUGAAACUCAAAGGAAUUGACGGGGGCCCGCACAAGCGGUGGAGCAUGUGGUUUAA